rnacentral:rRNA from 1 species
GGGGUAGAGUAAUGCGUGACCAACCUGCCCCAUGCUCCAGAAUAGCUCUUGGAAACGGGUGGUAAUGCUGGAUGCUCCAACUUGACGCAUGUCUUGUUGGGAAAGUGUUUAGUGGCAUGGGAUGGGGUCGCGUCCUAUCAGCUUGUAGGCGGGGUAAUGGCCCACCUAGGCUUCGACGGGUAGCCGGCCUGAGAGGGCGGACGGCCACAUUGGGACUGAGAUACGGCCCAGACUCCUACGGGAGGCAGCAGCG